UAGCCUAGUGGUUAAGGCUAUGGAUCAACAAUCCGGAGACGGCGGGUUCGAUUCCCGU
rnacentral:tRNA from 1 species